rnacentral:rRNA from 1 species
AGCGAACGCUGGCGGCAGGCCUAACACAUGCAAGUCGAACGAACUCUUCGGAGUUAGUGGCGGACGGGUGAGUAACACGUGGGAACGUGCCUUUUGGUUCGGAAUAACUCAGGGAAACUUGUGCUAAUACCGAAUGUGCCCUUCGGGGGAAAGAUUUAUCGCCAUUAGAGCGGCCCGCGUCUGAUUAGCUAGUUGGUGAGGUAACGGCUCACCAAGGCGACGAUCAGUAGCUGGUCUGAGAGGAUGACCAGCCACACUGGGACUGAGACACGGCCCAGACUCCUACGGGAGGCAGCAGUGGGGAAUCUUGCGCAAUGGGAGAAAGCCUGACGCAGCCAUGCCGCGUGAAUGAUGAAGGUCUUAGGAUUGUAAAAUUCUUUCACCGGGGACGAUAAUGACGGUACCCGGAGAAGAAGCCCCGGCUAACUUCGUG